AGGCAAGUCUUAUACGACCAGCUCCUUUCAAAUCCUCCAGGGCCGGAAGGCAGCAAAGGUAGAAAGUUGUAGCGGUGCGAUAUAAGGGGCUUGCCUUCU
rnacentral:SRP_RNA from 1 species